rnacentral:rRNA from 1 species
UAUCGGAUUGAUACUAAGCCAUGCGAGUCAUUGCAGUAAUGCAAGGCAGACGGCUCAGUAACGCGUAGUCAACCUACCCUAUGGACGGGAAUAACCUCGGGAAACUGAGUAUAAUGCCCGAUAGAACACUAUUCCUGGAAUGGUUUGUGUUCCAAAUGAUUUAUCGCCGUAGGAUGGGACUGCGGCCUAUCAGUUUGUUGGUGAGGUAAUGGCCCACCAAGACUAUUACAGGUACGGGCUCUGAGAGGAGUAGCCCGGAGAUGGGUACUGAGACACGGACCCAGGCCCUAUGGGGCGCAGCAGGCGAGAAAACUUUGCAAUGUGCGAAAGCACGACAAGGUUAAUCCGAGUGGUUUGUGCUAAACGAACCUUUUGACAGUCCUAGAAACACUGUUGAAUAAGGGGUGGGCAAGUUCUGGUGUCAGCCGCCGCGGUAAAACCAGCACCUCAAGUGGUCAGGAUGAUUAUUGGGCCUAAAGCAUCCGUAGCCGGCUCUGUAAGUUUUCGGUUAAAUCUGUACGCUCAACGUACAGGCUGCCGGGAAUACUGCAGAGCUAGGGAGUGGGAGAGGUAGACGGUACUCGGUAGGAAGGGGUAAAAUCCUUUGAUCUAUUGAUGACCACCUGUGGCGAAGGCGGUCUACCAGAACACGUCCGACGGUGAGGGAUGAAAGCUGGGGGAGCAAACCGGAUUAGAUACCCGGGUAGUCCCAGCUGUAAACUAUGCAAACUCAGUGAUGCGUUAGCUUGUGGCCAAUGCAGUGCUGCAGGGAAGCCGUUAAGUUUGCCGCCUGGGAAGUACGUACGCAAGUAUGAAACUUAAAGGAAUUGGCGGGGGAGCACCACAAGGGGUGAAGCCUGCGGUUCAAUUGGAGUC